rnacentral:rRNA from 1 species
GCAAGUCGAGCGCCCACUUCGGUGGGAGCGGCGGACGGGUUAGUAACGCGUGGGAACAUACCCUUUUCUACGGAAUAGCCUCGGGAAACUGAGAGUAAUACCGUAUACGCCCUUCGGGGGAAAGAUUUAUCGGUGAAGGAUUAGCCCGCGUAAGAUUAGAUAGUUGGUGGGGUAAUGGCCUACCAAGUCUACGAUCUUUAGCUGGUUUGAGAGGAUGAUC